rnacentral:rRNA from 1 species
CACGUAGGGCGCAAGCGUUGUCCGGAAUUAUUGGGCGUAAAGAGCUCGUAGGUGGUCUGUUGCGUCCGCUGUGAAAACUCGGGGCUUAACCCCCGAGCCUGCAGUGGAUACGGGCAGACUAGAGGUAGGUAGGGGAGAAUGGAAUUCCUGGUGUAGCGGUGAAAUGCGCAGAUAUCAGGAGGAACACCGGUGGCGAAGGCGGGUUCUCUGGGCCU